GAUGAACGCUAGCUACAGGCUUAACACAUGCAAGUCGAGGGGAAACGAUAGAGAAAGCUUGCUUUUUCUAGGCGUCGACCGGCGCACGGGUGAGUAACGCGUAUCCAACCUGCCCAUCACUUGGGGAUAACCUUGCGAAAGUAAGACUAAUACCCAAUGACGUCUCUAGAAGACAUCUGAAAGAGAUUAAAGAUUUAUCGGUGAUGGAUGGGGAUGCGUCUGAUUAGCUUGUUGGCGGGGUAACGGCCCACCAAGGCGACGAUCAGUAGGGGUUCUGAGAGGAAGGUCCCCCACAUUGGAACUGAGACACGGUCCAAAACUCCUACGGGAGGCAGCAGUGAGGAAUAUUGGUCAAUGGACGAGAGUCUGAACCAGCCAAGUAGCGUGCAGGAUGACGGCCCUAUGGGUUGUAAACUGCUUUUAUAAGGGAAUAAAGUGGGAGUCGUGACUCUUUUUGCAUGUACCUUAUGAAUAAGCAUCGGCUAACUCCGUGCCAGCA
rnacentral:rRNA from 1 species